UACGUAGGUGGCAAGCGUUGUCCGGAUUUAUUGGGCGUAAAGCGAGCGCAGGCGGUUCUUUAAGUCUGAUGUGAAAGCCCCCGGCUCAACCGGGGAGGGCCAUUGGAAACUGGCGAUCUAGAGUCCGGAAGAGGUGAGUGGAACUCCUAGUGUAGAGGUGGAAUUCGUAGAUAUAGGAAGGAACACCAGUGGCGAAGGCGGCUACCUGGACCAACACUGACACUGAGGUGCGAAAGCGUGGGGAGCAAACAGG
rnacentral:misc_RNA from 1 species